UUGUUGGUGAGGUAAAGGCUUACCAAGACUUCGAUCAGUAGCUGGUCUGAGAGGACGACCAGCCACACUGGGACUGAGACACGGCCCAGGCUCCUACGGGAGGCAGCAGUGGGGAAUUUUGGAUAAUGGGGGAAACCCUGAUCCAGCCAUGCCGCGUGAGUGAAGAAGGCCUUCGGGUUAUAAAGCUCUUUCAGCCGGAACGAAACGGUUACGAUUAAUACCUGUAACUACUGACGGUACCGGAAGAAGCAGCACCGGCUAACUACGUGCCAGCAGCCGCGGUAAUACGUAGGGUGCGAGCGUUAAUCGGAAUUACUGGGCGUAAAGCGUGCGCAGGUGGUUUUGUAAGUCAGAUGUGAAAUCCCCGGGCUUAACCUGGGAACUGCGUUUGAAACUACAAGGCUAGAGUGUGGCAGAGGGGGGUGGAAUUCCGCGUGUAGCAGUGAAAUGCGUAGAGAUGUGGAGGAACACCGAUGGCGAAGGCAGCCCCCUGGGUCAACACUGACGCUCAGGCACGAAAGCAUGGGGAGCAAACAGGAUUAGAUACCCUGGUAGUCCAUGCCCUAAACGAUGUCAACUAGUUGUCGGGUCUUAACGGGCUUGGUAACGUAGCUAACGCGUGAAGUUGACCGCCUGGGGAGUACGAUCGCAAGAUUAAAACUCAAAGGAAUUGACGGGGACCCGCACAGGCGGUGGAUUAUGUGGAUUAAUUCGAUGCAACGCGAAAAACCUUACCUACCCUUGACAUGUAUUGGAGCCCGCAGAGAUGUGGGUGUGCCCGAAAGGGAACGAUAACACAGGUGCUGCAUGGCUGUCGUCAGCUCGUGUCGUGAGAUGUUGGGUUAAGUCCCGCAACGAGCGCAACCCUUGUCAUUAAUUGCCAUCACUUAGUUGGGCACUUUAAUGAGACCGCCGG
rnacentral:rRNA from 1 species